rnacentral:rRNA from 1 species
AUACGUAGGUGACAAGCGUUAUCCGGAUUUACUGGGCGUAAAGGGCGUGUAGGCGGUCUUGCAAGUCAGAAGUGAAAUUCCUGAGCUCAACUCGGGCGCUGCUUCUGAAACUGCAGGACUUGAGUGCUGGAGGGGAUAGCGGAAUUCCUAGUGGAGCGGUAAAAUGCGCAGAUAUUAGGAAGAACACCGGUGGCGAAGGCGGCUAUCUGGACAAUAACUGACAGUGAGCGGCGAAAGCGUGGGGAGCAAACAGUAGUAAAUACCCUGCUAGUCCACGCCGUAAACGAUGAAUACUAUGUGUAGGGGGUAUCGACUCCCUCUGGGCCGCAGUUAACACAAUAAGUAUUCCGCCUGGGGAGUACGGCCGCAAGGUUGAAACUCAAAUGAAUGGACGGGG